GCCUGGUUGGCUCAGUUUGUAGAGCAUGUGACUCUUGAUCUCGGGGUUGUGAGUUCAAGCUCCAUGUUGGGCA
rnacentral:tRNA from 1 species